rnacentral:rRNA from 1 species
GACGUAGGGUGCAAGCGUUGUCCGGAAUUAUUGGGCGUAAAGGGCUCGUAGGCGGUUUGUCACGUCGGGAGUGAAAACUCGGGGCUUAACCCCGAGCCUGCUUCCGAUACGGGCAGACUAGAGGUAUGCAGGGGAGAACGGAAUUCCUGGUGUAGCGGUGAAAUGCGCAGAUAUCAGGAGGAACACCGGUGGCGAAGGCGGUUCUCUGGGCAUUACCUGACGCUGAGGAGCGAAAGUGUGGGGAGCGAACAGG